UACGUAGGGUGCAAGCGUUAAUCGGAAUUACUGGGCGUAAAGCGUGCGCAGGCGGUUUUGUAAGUCUGACGUGAAAUCCCCGGGCUCAACCUGGGAAUUGCGUUGGAGACUGCAAGGCUAGAAUCUGGCAGAGGGGGGUAGAAUUCCACGUGUAGCAGUGAAAUGCGUAGAGAUGUGGAGGAACACCGAUGGCGAAGGCAGCCCCCU
rnacentral:rRNA from 1 species